GUGAGCCACGACCGUGCCACUGUACUCCAGCCUGGGCGACAGGACAAAACUCUCAAAAAACCAAACAAAGCAGUUUAUAAUUUGGCUAAAUUAACUUUUGUAUCAUCUAAAGUUUUCUUCUGCUUAGAUAUGGCUGCCUUAAAAGAUGCAGAUACUGUUAUGAUCAGCAUGAAGUUUCCCUGUGGGGCUGUGGUCAGCGUGGACGUCAGCCAGCACCGUACAGACCUGUGACUAGAGAUUGGAGGUGACCCCCUGCCCUUUUCCACCCCUCGCCAGUCCACUGUGAAAAGCUGGGUUCAUUCUCUGGGUUAGAUAGAGGUCGUCAGCCGGGUCGAUUAUGCGGGUUAGAUAGGGGUCGUCACCCGGCCACCCUCAGUUGGGUUGAUUGUGUGGGUUAGAUAGAGGUCGUCACCCAGCCACCCUCAGUUGGGUUGAUUGUGCAGGUUAGAUGGGGUCAUCACCCGGCCACCCUCAGUUGGGUUGAUUGUGCGGGUUAGAUAGGGGUCGUCACCCGGCCACCCUCAGUUGGGUUGAUUGUGUGGGUUAGAUAGAGGUCGUCACCCAGCCACCCUCAGUUGGGUUGAUUGUGCAGGUUAGAUGGGGUCAUCACCCGGCCACCCUCAGUUGGGUUGAUUGUGCGGGUUAGAUAGGGGUCGUCACCUGGCUACCCUCAGCUGGGUUGAUUGUGCGGGUUAGAUAGAGGUUGUCACCCGGCCACCCUCAGCUGGGUUGAUUGUGCGGGUUAGAUAGAGGUCAUCAGCCAGGUUGAUCCUGCUGGUUAAAUAGAGGUCAUCACCUGGCCAUCCCCAGUCAGAGCAUAUGCAGCACACCUUGUGCAUAGUCAGUGCUCAGUAAAUAUUUGUUUUAAUUUUCUGCUGAGAGUCACGUCUUCCAGGUUUUGAAGAGCGUUCGCUCCCUGGCCUCUGGGCCUCAGGAGCUGUUUUGUGACGGUGGCUUUCCUUUACAUUGGCUGUUGCUCUACAGAAGCCUGUGCUUCCUUGGCCGUUACACAGAAAGCCGGUGUUGGUCACAGUGUGCCAUGGGAAGUGAUAAUGAUGGUCCUGGAAGGCCUGCGUCAUGUGUCACCUGCCCGCCCCACCCCCACCAGCAAAAGCCCUGGUGGUGUUCAGUCAUCCCCUUCCCCUCCCCACUUCCCGUGCUCGGCCUGGUUCACUCCUGUCUUGCAAUGGCUCCCAGGUGCGUGGGUCCCAAGGCGCGCUGCAGAUGGAGAAUCAGAAUCCCUUGGGCAUCACCGGGCAGGGCACGUCCCUGUCCCUCGGCUCCCAGACCCAGACUAGCCGCUACCAGGACUUGUAUCGAGAGCUCUUCAGACACUUUGUCAGAACCCUUAAAGGGAAGGAACCUCCUGAAAUCGCCAAAGAGCAGUUCCCCAGGGCCUUCCGGGCGGCCGCGGCGCAGUCGUGGUGGAGCCGGUCAGCUGUGGACCUGCCCUGCGACUCAGCAGAGGCCUCUGUGGUGAAGACAGAAGCUCUGUGAACCAACUCGAAGCUGGAGCCAAGAUCUUGCCCAAUAUCCAGUUGCCUGUUUUUCUUCUCACUGUUACUGAGAGAGGGAGACAGAACCUUCUGGCGAUCUUGUCCUCACUGGAGACUCAGAACGGGAAGCAUUGGGAAACCAUGUAUGUUUCAUUUCUGGUGUGACCAGACUUUUCAGGAUGUGACUUCAGACCAAGGACACAAGUUGGGCUUGCUUAGCUGUUUUGUGUUGCGCGCCGGCCGCAGAGAUGCUCUUCCGGUCAGAGUUCCCUUGGCAGGGCCUCGGAGGCCCCUGGUUGGCUGUCUCGGGAAGAGGGCAGGUCAGGGAUUGGACAGUGUAAAUUGACCCAGAAACCUGCGGUUUCAGCUUUUCUGUGGCAAACAGGGCCGAGGGCUGGCGAAGCUGUUAAGACUAAAUGUCACAUGCAUGAGGCAGACUGCAGGCCUCCUUAGGCCUUUUUUGGGGUAAUUACACCAGUAUUUAAAAACAUUUUUUGUUUGUUUGUUUUGAGACGGAGUCUCGCCCUGUCACCCAGUCUGGAGUGCAGUGGUGCAAUCUCGGCUGACUGCAACCUCCGCCUCCCGGGUUCAAGUGAUUCUUCUGCCUCAGCCUUCUGAGUAGCUGGGAUUACAGGCACGCGCCACCACGCCCGGCUAAUUUUUGUAUUUUUAGCAGAGACGGGGUUUCACCAUGUUGGCCAGGCUGGUCUCGAACUACUGACCUCAUGGUCCACCUGCCACGGCUUCCCAAAGUGCUGGGAUUACGGGCGUGAGCCACCAUGCUCGGUCUAAAAAACAAUUUUCUUGAAGAAUCUGAUUUUGUGCAUAGUAAUGACACAGCACCAUUCCAGAGAAAUAGGAAGUAUAUGUGUGUGGUAUGAGAAAUCCAUAUUCUGUUCUUGUCGCCUGAAUCUAGGCUUCCUCUUCGGAUGUGAGCGCAGGAAUGAACGGCGGCUGUUUUCUGCCCAAAGAGGUGGAGACCUUUUAGAAACAGGCCUUUUCCUUUCCGUUUUGCAGCCAGGUGGUGGAAACCUUCCUUCGAAGGGUAGUGCCUUGGGGAGCAGCAGAGCUGUUCCGAGUCCAGCUUAGCUUUCCAAAAUUCUGUGUGGAACCUACUGGAGAUGUUUUUAUAUAUUUGAAAAUAAUGGCUUGUGUUUCUCAUGCUAUACUUAAAAAAAAUAACCUUUUAAACAAAGAUAUUCAAACUCACCCUUGUGCUAAAAGC